rnacentral:rRNA from 1 species
AGCUAAUACAUGCUGAAAACCCUGACUUCGGAAAGGGUGUAUUUAUUAGAUAAAAAACCAAUGCCCUUUGGGCUCUUUGGUGAUUCAUGAUAACUUAACGGAUCGCAUGGCCUUGCGCCGGCGACGGUUCAUUCAAAUUUCUGCCCUAUCAACUUUCGAUGGUAAGGUAUUGGCUUACCAUGGUUUCAACGGGUAACGGGGAAUUAGGGUUCGAUUCCGGAGAGGGAGCCUGAGAAACGGCUACCACAUCCAAGGAAGGCAGCAGGCGCGCAAAUUACCCAAUCCCGACACGGGGAGGUAGUGACAAUAAAUACUGAUACAGGGCUCUUUUGGGUCUUGUAAUCGGAAUGAGUACAAUUUAAACCUCUUAACGAGGAACAAUUGGAGGGCAAGUCUGGUGCCAGCAGCCGCGGUAAUUCCAGCUCCAAUAGCGUAUAUUAAAGUUGUUGCAGUUAAAAAGCUCGUAGUUGAAUCUUGGGCCUGGCUGGCCGGUCCGCCUCACCGCGUGUACUGGUCUGGCCGGGCCUUUCCUUCUGGAGAACCUCAUGCCCUUCAGUGGGUGUGUUGGGGAACCAGGACUUUUACUUUGAAAAAAUUAGAGUGUUCAAAGCAGGCCUUUGCUCGAAUACGUUAGCAUGGAAUAAUAGAAUAGGACGUGCGGUCCUAUUUUGUUGGUUUCUAGGACCGCCGUAAUGAUUAAUAGGGAUAGUCGGGGGCAUCAGUAUUCAAUUGUCAGAGGUGAAAUUCUUGGAUUUAUUGAAGACUAACUACUGCGAAAGCAUUUGCCAAGGAUGUUUUCAUUAAUCAGUGAACGAAAGUUAGGGGAUCGAAGACGAUCAGAUACCGUCGUAGUCUUAACCGUAAACUAUGCCGACUAGGGAUCGGGCGAUGUUUCUAUCUUGACUCGCUCGGCAC